rnacentral:rRNA from 1 species
GACGAACCGUGCGAACGUUGUUCGGAAUCACUGGGCUUAAAGGGCGCGUAUGCGGGCCGCAAAGUCAGGGGUGGAAUCCUCCAGCUUAACUGGAGAACUGCCUUUGAUACUGGCGGCCUGGAGUAAGGUAGGGGCGUGCGGAACUGAUGGUGGAGCGGUGAAAUGUGUUGAUAUCAUCAGGAACUCCGGUGGCGAAAGCGGCACGCUGGACCUUCACUGACGCUGAGGCGCGAAAGCCAGGGGAGCAAACGGG